CAUUCACUAGUUGUAUCAUCUCCCCCUUUUCCACCAACAAUUCCCUUCACAACCCUGCUCAAAAUACACUUUCCCCAAGGAAGCACUUCUUGAUUAAUGUUGCUGGAUAUUAAUUUUUUGUUAUUGUUUUCUCAUUAGUCUAUGUUACAGAGGCCUGCAGAGUUGUAUUCUCUUUCUCUCCCAUUCAUGACGUCCCCAAACUUCCAAGAGGCCUGUCUCAGGGCAUGCAGGGUAGGAACGGAGCUGUAGACUGAUGCUGUUAACCAUCUCCCAGGCCUCUCGGGCCAAACCGCACUCGAAUCAACCCAGACCCAGUCUCACCCGUCAGUUCCCCAGUCAGCUGUCUCCACGGCGGCAUCGUCUGGGCCAAGGGAGAAUGACUAAGUGUCCCGCCUACACCCGGUGCUAAUCCAGCCAAAACUGCCUGUUCCGACAUCCCUCCACUUGCCUUCAUUCCAUCAAGUCGGCUCCAUUCUCCAUCUGCCAUAAUUUCAAGUCCUUCACGGCGUCCCUGCCCAUCUGACACACCAACUCGCCUCCCUCGCACAGCCCCUCGCCGAUACCCGGCACCCCUGCUAAACCAUCCGUCACCCUGACAGGACAAACACUCGCGCGCAGAGACAAGUGCACUCCUCCCACCAGCCCGUUCCUGCCAGGCAAGAAAGGAAGCUUUCCGUGGAAGAACUGCAUGCAAGUAGAGACUGAAUAUUUUCGUGCUUUCUUUUGAACUGCUGGAAGACCUGCCCAGCUCAGAGCAGUAAGAAGUCACCAGUGCUGACUUCAGUCGGCAACUUUGUACAUCUCCUUUCCCAGGUAAAUCAAUAUCCCAACAUAUACUUGUAUGAAUAUACCCAUGCCAGAUGGAUAUUUUCCAAAAGAAGUCUUUCCAAGAAAAUUAACAUAAAAAUUUGGGGCUUUUUGCUGUUAGAGGGGAAAAACAUAGAGCUGAUGUCAACAAACAGCACAAACUUUCUAUCCUAAUAAAGUCAAGUCUAAUCAGA